rnacentral:rRNA from 1 species
UCCGGUGAUUGGAGCAGGGUGGCACCACCUCUUCCCAUUCCGAACAGAGUCGUGAAACGCCCGAGCGCCGACGAUAGUUGUGUGAGCAAUCCACCGCGAAAAUAGGUCAUUGCCGGGG